AACGAACGCUGGCGGCAUGCCUAACACAUGCAAGUCGAACGAGACCUUCGGGUCUAGUCGCGCACGGGUGCGUAACGCGUGGGAACCUGCCCUUAGGUUCGGAAUAACUCCCCGAAAGGGGUGCUAAUACCGGAUAAUGUCUUCGGACCAAAGAUUUAUCGCCUUUGGAUGGGCCCGCGUCGGAUUAGCUAGUUGGUAGGGUAAAAGCCUACCAAGGCGACGAUCCAUAGCUGGUCUGAGAGGAUGAUCAGCCACACUGGGACUGAGACACGGCCCAGACUCCUACGGGAGGCAGCAGUGGGGAAUAUUGGACAAUGGGCGAAAGCCUGAUCCAGCAAUGCCGCGUGAGUGAUGAAGGCCUUAGGGUUGUAAAGCGCUUUUACCCGGGAUGAUAAUGACAGUACCGGGAGAAUAAGCUCCGGCUAACUCCGUG
rnacentral:rRNA from 1 species